AAUUCUCAUCUUUUCGAUUCCCCCCGCGCGCUUCUUUCAAAUUCCUAUUUUUCGGCCGAGACGAUAAAAAUAUCGGUAAACUGUCGACGGAGAGGAGGGGAGAAAAAUGAUAAGAGCGGUACACGCAGAAGGAGAUGCAUCGCGGAAUUCGCAUUUUCCUAUGCAUAGCAUUUUAAAAUAAGUUCUUAAUGGCGUAAGCACGUAGCUAACAGGUGUUGCGUUUUCUUCUUCUUUCGCGUCGACGAACUUUGAUACUUUCCCCUUUGAACAACGGGGGGAGUGAAAUUUAUCGAGCCGCCCUGUCGGCCAAAUAAUUCAUGUCGCGCGCCAAAAAGUCGCUCGCUUACACCCCACGUUUCCUCGCGACCACCCGCCCCGAACGCUCGUAUAUCUCUGGAUACCGCGAGACUAUCGGAUUGCCGGAGUUAUUCGCCGUUUAAAACCCGCGAUUCGGUUUCCUUCCACUUUAUAUUCGUCUUCGUAUCGCGCUGUGUACGUAUCCUCUC